AUUGAACGCUGGCGGCAGGCCCAACACAUGCAAGUCGAACGAGUGGCGGACGGGUGAGUAAUGUCUGGGAAACUGCCCGAUGGAGGGGGAUAACUACUGGAAACGGUAGCUAAUACCGCAUACCAUCGGAUGUGCCCACAUGGGAUUAGCUAGUAGGUGGGGUAAGGGCUCACCUAGGCGACGAUCCCUAGCUGGUCUGACAGGAUGACCAGCAACACUGGAACUGAGACACGGUCCGGAGUCCUCCGGGAGGCGGCAGUGGGGAAUAUUGCGCAAUGGGCGCAGGCCUGAGGCAGCCAUGCCGCGUGUAUGAAGAAGGCCUUCGGGUUGUAAAGUACUUUCAGCGGGGAGGCGUUACUCGCAGAAGAAGCACCGGCUAACUCCGUGCCAGUAGCCGCGGUAAUUC
rnacentral:rRNA from 1 species